rnacentral:rRNA from 1 species
GACAGAGGAUGCAAGCGUUAUCCGGAAUGAUUGGGCGUAAAGCGUCUGUAGGUGGCUUUUUAAGUCUGCCGUCAAAUCCCAGGGCUUAACCCUGGACAGGCGGUGGAAACUACCAAACUGGAGUACGGUAGGGGAAGAGGGAAUUUCCGGUGGAGCGGUGAAAUGCGUAGAGAUCGGAAAGAACACCAACGGCGAAGGCACUCUUCUGGGCCGAAACUGACACUGAGAGACGAAAGCUUGGGUAGCGAACGGG